UUUGGGGCUUCUAUGUGCAACUUCGAAGCCGUUUAUGCUCAAGGUAAAUAAUUUUAGUUUUUUCCUUUUAGCAUUUUCUGCAACAAUUUUUUUUUUUUUAAUAUUGUGAAGUUGUGUUUUCUAUAAUGUGAAAGUCGAAUAUGUGGGAAUUAUAUAUAUAUUUUAGAUUUUGGUGUCUUUUAGGGUUUUAUUCUGGAGUUUGCAAGCCAUUUUUAUGUCAGGUAUAUACUUUAUCUCUUUGCUGUUAAAUUUAUGUUUUAUUUGGGUUUUUUGAUUGUUUGUGGUUCAAUUUUUCCCUGAAAAUUUAAAAAGAGAGAAAUGAUCAUGAUUAAUUUUUCCGUAUUGAAUGUCAAAUUAUCAAUGUAUAUAUACAAAAAAUGAUUUCAGUGUAUGUAGGCAAGAUAAAAUUUCUAUGUCAAAUGGUGAAGUAUCAUGACUUGGUUUCCAGUUUUAAUGUUCUUUUUAUAUGUUGUCUUUGCUUUCAUAAAUUGAUACUUUAUUGUUGAUAAAACAGAUUUGGUUUUGCAGACCAUAAUUUUUAAGCAACAAAAUUAAGCUGGGAAUUAAAUUGAGGUAUGAAUGCUUCCACUUAUUCAGGUUAUUCAAUUGAUCUUUUCCUUUACUGGAUUUUAUUUUUGAAUGUUGUUUGAUAAAACUAAUUUGGUUUUGUAGAUUAAGAUUUUUAAGCGAGA
rnacentral:lncRNA from 1 species